GAUGAACGCUGGCGGCGUGCCUAAUACAUGCAAGUCGAGCGAACAGACGAGGAGCUUGCUCCUCUGACGUUAGCGGCGGACGGGUGAGUAACACGUGGAUAACCUACCUAUAAGACUGGGAUAACUUCGGGAAACCGGAGCUAAUACCGGAUAAUAUAUUGAACCGCAUGGUUCAAUAGUGAAAGACGGUUUUGCUGUCACUUAUAGAUGGAUCCGCGCCGCAUUAGCUAGUUGGUAAGGUAACGGCUUACCAAGGCGACGAUGCGUAGCCGACCUGGGAGGGUGAUCGGCCACCCGGGAACUGAGACACGGUCCAGACUCCUACGGGAGGCAGCAGUAGGGAAUCUUCCGCAAUGGGCGAAAGCCUGACGGAGCAACGCCGCGUGAGUGAUGAAGGUCUUCGGAUCGUAAAACUCUGUUAUUAGGGAAGAACAAAUGUGUAAGUAACUAUGCACGUCUUGACGGUACCUAAUCAGAAAGCCACGGCUAACUACGUG
rnacentral:rRNA from 1 species